rnacentral:rRNA from 1 species
AGCGAACGCUGGCGGCAGGCCUAACACAUGCAAGUCGAACGAAGUCUUCGGACUUAGUGGCGGACGGGUGAGUAACACGUGGGAACGUGCCCUUUGGUACGGAAUAACUCAGGGAAACUUGUGCUAAUACCGAAUGUGCCCUUCGGGGGAAAGAUUUAUCGCCUUUAGAGCGGCCCGCGUCUGAUUAGCUUGUUGGUGGGGUAAUGGCCCACCAAGGCGACGAUCAGUAGCUGGUCUGAGAGGAUGACCAGCCACAUUGGGACUGAGACACGGCCCAAACUCCUACGGGAGGCAGCAGUGGGGAAUCUUGCGCAAUGGGCGAAAGCCUGACGCAGCCAUGCCGCGUGGAUGAUGAAGGUCUUAGGAUUGUAAAAUCCUUUCACCGGUGAAGAUAAUGACUGUAGCCGGAGAAGAAGCCCCGGCUAACUUCGUGCCAGCCGCCGCCGUAAAAC